UACCGGCUCGAUGGCGUAAUUGGUUAGAGCGCGCGAUAUUAAACGUGAAUAGAAAUCUAUCUGUGGUAGCUGCGGGUUCAAAUUCCGCCAUCGGUAA